rnacentral:tRNA from 1 species
GAAAUUUUAGUAAAAUAUAUAUUACACUGCUUUGUCAAAGCAAAAUUGCAAGUUAAAUUCUUGCAAAUCUCA